GACGAACGCUGGCGGCGUGCUUAACACAUGCAAGUCGAACGGAAAGGCCCUGCUUUUGUGGGGUGCUCGAGUGGCGAACGGGUGAGUAACACGUGAGUAACCUGCCCUUGACUUUGGGAUAACUUCAGGAAACUGGGGCUAAUACCGGAUAGGAGCUCCUGCUGCAUGGUGGGGGUUGGAAAGUUUCGGCGGUUGGGGAUGGACUCGCGGCUUAUCAGCUUGUUGGUGGGGUAGUGGCUUACCAAGGCUUUGACGGGUAGCCGGCCUGAGAGGGUGACCGGCCACAUUGGGACUGAUAUACGGCCCAGACUCCUGCGGGAGGCAGCAGUGGGGAAUAUUGCACAAUGGGCGGAAGCCUGAUGCAGCAACGCCGCGUGCGGGAUGACGGCCUUCGGGUUGUAAACCGCUUUCGCCUGUGACGAAGCGUGAGUGACGGUAAUGGGUAAAGAAGCACCGGCUAACUACGUG
rnacentral:rRNA from 1 species